AGUAAUGUCUGGGAAACUGCCUGAUGGAGGGGGAUAACUGCUGGAAACGAUAGCUAAUACCGCAUAACGUCGCAAGACCAAAGAGGGGGACCUUCGGGCCUCUUGCCAUCGGAUGUGCCCAGAUGGGAUUAGCUAGUAGGUGGGGUAACGGCUCACCUAGGCGACGAUCCCUAGCUGGCUGAGAGGAUGACCAGCCACACUGGAACUGAGACACGGUCCAG
rnacentral:rRNA from 1 species